rnacentral:rRNA from 1 species
AAUCAACGCUGGCGGCGUGCCUAACACAUGCAAGUCGAACGCGAAAGUGGAGCAAUCCAUGAGUAGAGUGGCAAACGGGUGAGUAACGCGUGGGUGACCUGCCUUCGAGUGGGGGAGUAACGUUCCGAAAGGGACGCUAAUACCGCAUGACAUCCUGCCUUUGAAGAGGCGGAGAUCAAAGCCGGGGAGUCGCAAGACCUGGCGCUUGAUGAGGGGCCCGCGUCUGAUUAGCUAGUUGGUGGGGUAACGGCCUACCAAGGCAACGAUCAGUAUCCGGCCUGAGAGGGCGGACGGACACACUGGGACUGAGACACGGCCCAGACUCCUACGGGAGGCAGCAGUGGGGAAUUGUUCGCAAUGGGCGCAAGCCUGACGACGCAACGCCGCGUGGAGGAUGAAGACC